CCUACGGGAGGCAGCAGUGGGGAAUAUUGGGCAAUGGGCGCAAGCCUGACCCAGCAAUGCCGCGUGAAGGAAGAAGGCUUUCGGGUUGUAAACUUCUUUGACAGGGGAAGAGCAGAAGACGGUACCCUGAAAACAAGCCACGGCUAACUACGUGCCAGCAGCAGCGGUAAUACGUAGGUGGCAAGCGUUGUCCGGAUUUACUAGGUGUAAAGGGCGUGUAGCCGGGAAGGCAAGUCAGAUGUGAAAUCUGGAGGCUCAACCUCCAAAGUGCAUUUGAAACUGUUUUUCUUGAGUACUGGAGAGGCAGACGGAAUUCCGUGUGUAGCGGUGAAAUGCGUAGAUAUAAGGAGGAACACCAGUGGCGAAGGCGGUCUGCUGGACAGCAACUGACGGUGAGGCGCGAAAGCGUGGGGAGCAAACAGGAUUAGAUACCCCAGUAGUC
rnacentral:rRNA from 1 species